AUUGAACGCUGGCGGCAGGCCUAACACAUGCAAGUCGAGCGGAUGAAGGGGGCUUGCUCCUGGAUUCAGCGGCGGACGGGUGAGUAAUGCGCAGGAAUCUACCUCGUAGUGGGGGAUAACGUCUCGAAAGGGGCGCUAAUACCGCAUACGUUCUGAGGAAGAAAGCAGGGGACCUUCGGGCCUUGCGCUAUGAGAUGAGCUUGCGUCCGAUUAGCUAGUUGGUGGGGUAAAGGCCUACCAAGGCGACGAUCGGUAACUGGUCUGAGAGGAUGAUCAGUCACACUGGAACUGAGACACGGUCCAGACUCCUACGGGAGGCAGCAGUGGGGAAUAUUGGACAAUGGGGGCGAACCCUGAUCCAGCCAUGCCGCGUGUGUGAAGAAGGCC
rnacentral:rRNA from 1 species